rfam:Oryza glaberrima chromosome 1 Oglab01_0259_9, whole genome shotgun sequence.
AAGAAGAUAAACUCUGGGUUUCCGUGUCCAACGUUUGACUGUCCGUCUUAUAUGAAAUUUUUUUAUAAUUAGUAUUUUCAUUGUUGUUAGAUGAUAAAACAUGAUUAAUACUUUUUGCGUGACUUGUCUUUUUAAUUUUUUUCAUAAUUUUUUUAAAUAAGACGGACGGUCAAAUGUUAGACACGGAAGCCUAGAGUUUGUCUUUUU